GUUGUGAGUGACAAUCUUCUAGCAACUUGAUAAAAUAACCGCAUUGUUACAACUUGUUGACAAGCUUACCCAAGCUUGCUACAAGCCCGUUGCGAACACAUCUUGUUGACAAGUUGUGUCUUUGUCAACAAGCCGUCAACAAGUUGUUUUCGCACUGCUGGUCACAAGUUGUCAACAAGUUUGGAACAGGCUGUUAACAAUUUGUAACAACCUUGUUGAUAUUAUCAGGCUUGUUACAAGGUUUUUCCAACAAGUCCGGUACAAUCAUGAUAUAGCAGUAUUGUUACAACCUUGUGUCGUCAACCUUGUAACAUUCUUGUUUAUCAUGACUGUAUCAGACUUAUUAGAACAACCUUGUGACAAGUCUGAUAUUUAAUGCCAUCAAGCUUGUUACAAGUUGUUAACAGCUUGUUCCAGACUUGUUACAACAACUGCCAAUUGGGAACAAGCAGUGCGAAGACAACUUGUUGACAGCUUGUGAACAGAUUUGUAAUAACUUGUUUGCAGACUUGUAACAACUUGUGCGUUUUUACGUGUGUAAUUAACAAAUAUUCGCCGAAGGCGAGAUGAUUGUCGGUGAAUAGAAACCGAGACGAAGUCACAGAGACUGAGGUAAAUAAUUAUUUUAGUAUACUUUCAUAGGUGAUUAUUUGGAGAAAAAAAUUAAAAUAAUGUACACAUUUCUUCGUCAUUUAAUUGACAAAACGGCUUCGGCCGCCAUUUUGAAAAUCGCUUAGGGCCAUUCCAUUUAAUGUCCACACCCCUCUCUACGGAUGAGUUUUUCUGAAGGGUGACUCAAAAAGUCGUUUCUGAGGGGUUAAGCAUGUCGGCAUCCUUUGAUCUCUGCGAUUUUUCUGAGGGGUAAGGGGAAAAUUUACAAAUUUCUGAGGGGUGUUUUGUGUCGGCACUUUGAUCUUUUUUUCUUAGGGGUUAAAAUUUUACGGACCUCAUCCGUAGGGGGGGGGGGGUGGAUAUUAAAUGGAAUGGCCCUUAGGUGAUUACGCGUUAUAACUUAUAAUCACCUCAACGGCAACCAAUCAGCGUGGAGAAUUUUCAAUAAUCACCUACUGUAUGUAUUUAAAUUAUAGUAUAAUAAUUAUAGUAUAAAUAGAGCGAUAUAACAAAUAUCACACAUCGGUG